rnacentral:lncRNA from 1 species
CAUUGAGGUGGCCUAGUGACUAUUCGAAAAUUCUCCGUUCUCUUUUGCGAUUCGAGAAAGUUUUGUCGAGGGGAUUUGAUAAACCCCAUUGACGGAUUUCUUUCGAUGACCAUGAGAUGGAUGAAUCAGGAGUCACAAACCUCUGUUCCAAGCUUUCACUUUAGGUUGCUUAGAAGAAAAAUGAUAGAUUUAGUUUAGUUUUCCCUGUUUUCUGUUUUUGCGUCCCGUAGAAAAGUACCCCGAAAAUAAAAGUUCUCCGAACGUCGUGAAAAUCAAGUAUUUUUUUCUGAAUUUUUUGAAAAAUUCUGAGA